GAAGAAUUGCAUCUCGGCAAUUGGAGCAAAACCUCACUGAGAUCAUGACACAGCCCACUGAUGUGUGCUGAUCACACAAACAGCUAUAUUUCUUCUUGCAUCAGCCUCUUCGUCUUGGCUGGAGCCAAAAAAAAGUAAUUGUAAAAGAUUUGCAGAAAAUGAAAAGAUCCUCCAAAUCCAUGUGCAUACUGUGGCCAGAUAAGUGGAGUAUUAUUCUAGCCCAAAUUUUCUGCGUGUGAGAGGUCAAUGAUAGGUGAGAUUUGGAAUGGGAUUUCUUCAGUGCCUGGAACCCAUUUUACUUUCCUGGAAAGAGGUGGGUCAAUGCCCCAUGUGUCUACAUGGCAGGAUAACUUCAGUGAUGGAGAAAUCUUGAAGUCCUGGCUAUUGCUUUCAGAUGACCCCACAGGUCUUCUCAAGGCAUUUUCUGACAGGAUGAAGAGGAGAAACAGCAGUGGUGAUGGGUGUGACUAUAUGAAGACAUGCACAAGGACUGUGACAAGAACAGUCUUCACUGAUGCAACUUAAACUGCUGUAGAUGGACAUAAAAGUCGCACCCAGCAAAAUUUCCGUCCUGUGGAGAAGAACUCAAACUCCUGCAUGCUCUGAGAAUCUCCCAUUUUGCUUUUUCCCUGUCUUUGAAAGAAUAAUAAAUAAGGCUUCUUAAUAAGUCAUGAAUUAAUUACAAAGUGCAUGACAAACGUUAUCGGAAGAAAUUAAGUCCAUGCUCCUUGCUACGGCUGAAUCGAGGUGUCUGUCAUAUCUUGACUUCAUGGCAGAACGCAUUCUGAAAUUAAGAUGAAUAACUUAAUUUCUAGCUUCCAAUGAUUCCUCCUCAUAUACUGCAAAAAGGGCAAAGCAGAAGGGAGGGAGGAAAGAUUAAAAAGAGCAGUGCCAGUUAUUUGGGGAAGUCAUUGUUUGUCUGCAUUUGGGAAGAAAGGGACACCAUUUGGCAGCAUGGCAUGUCACUGUUUUGGUUCCAGCUGAUGAUCAUUGUGUGAAUUGAGCUGUAAGGAGAGCUGCCCAUUGACCAGCAUUGAUUGCUGUUGUCGACAGGUGCUAAUGUUCAUAGGGCAGAUCACAGCUGCUUGCACAGGGUUCCCAUUAUCCUUUGCUGGGUAUUGAUUCUCCCUGUGGGAUGUUUCCUUCCUAGCUGUGUUAAUUUUCAGAGCACAUAUUUGCAUUGGUUUGUGCUGAGAGGGAUAGUCAGAGGUGCCUUGGAUAUGUUUAAUGGCCUUACCCCCUCCCCUUUUACCCCCAAUCCCUUGAGUCUUUAGAGACUAUGUCUGUUGGGAUCCAAGUUUCCUCUAAUUAUGGUGCACAUUAAGGGACAGGCUCUAUGAAGAAUAUCAUUACUAUUCCUGUAAUUGCUUCAGGUGCACUCAAAAAUUAAUCAGAAAGCACACAAUGGGUUUUUUGUUUUGGUGUGGAUUUUAUUUUGAGUCCUUUCUGAGCCUAAAGACUUGCUGCCUAUGUAUAGAGCUUAUACAAGUGUAACAUGGAAGGGAUGGGAAAGUAGAUCAGGAGGAUGCCAGGGCAGGGACUAUUGCUUCCUUUCAGCACUAUUUUGGUGAUGCACACAAUUGAUUAACUGAUGGACCUCAGUUACCUGCAAACUAGAAUGUUAAUGCAAUGCAUUCCUUUUGCAUUGGUAUAAAUAGCUUUCAGUGUUGAGUGGAUUUGUCUAUUGGCAGGUGUCUGAACUGUGCCCAGAGCUGUGGUAGGAUCUUGCAGAGUCUUUUGGUACUGUAUAACAGUUGUUAUAGGAAUGGCAUCUUAUCCAUCUACCUUAAUGAGUCAAAGAAACCUAAAUUAUCUUUUGUUUUGUUUUGUUUUUUCUUUUUUUUU
rnacentral:lncRNA from 1 species